rnacentral:lncRNA from 1 species
CCUUGCACGAAAUGCCCGGAAAAUGUUUUCCUGAUUCGGUAUCCAGCGGCAUUAAUAUUUAGAAACCAGCCGCUGGUCAGGACUCGGGACCAGGACCAAGAGAUGGACUAAUUUGACUGGGCUACUCUUCAAAACUUCGACUGCUUGCCUUGUCGAAGAUGCGAGAGGCAUCUUCAUUGUCAGAAGUUCAUGAUCUUGUAGACAUGGUUUUGCAGUGGCAGAGCCAAAUGAGUUUGAGAAGUUAUACAGACCAAGUGUGAUACAACAUUUACCUCCCCUGUCUGCUAGAGAACCUGCGCUGAGUGAAAAACCACAGAUAUUAGAGCGUGGAUCGUGGACG